GCCUCGGUGGCGGAAUUGGUAGACGCGCCGGAUUCAAAAUCCGGUUCUAACGAGUGCGGGUUCGAUUCCCGCCCGAGGUA
rnacentral:tRNA from 2 species